GUGAGGGUCCGGUGCCACCUCCGCCCUCCCCGACGGCGCUCCGACUGGGACCCGGCCUGGAAGGGCCCGGUGCGCGAGGCCAACGGGCGAGCGACAAGCCUGCAGAUCGUGGGCAAGUGUUAUUUAUGAGUAGAGGUUAUAUGUAAAUGACAGCAACAGAAAGGAGUUAUCAUCAUAGCACCCCUUGCAAAUUCCAGUUUACAAGUAAUUUGGUCAGUGAAAAAAAAUAAAGGUCAGCAAAGUAAGAUGUCAGCUCUCCCUUAAGCUACUGCUCUCUGAUUCUGUCUCUUCCCCUUCUCUUACUGUUAGCUGCCUGAUACAGAGAGGGAUCAUCCAGACCGUGUGGGCAUGCUGGCUAAAGUGAAAAGUGACUUCCAGUGUCCUGGGAACCAGCAAGGAUGUUUUCCAUAAUUCCAACCGUUGGCUUAACAUCAAUCACUGAGGUAACAAGACCAAAUGUCAAGGAUAAAGACACCACUCCACCCUAGUCAGUGAGAUGUCCCUCAUUCUUGUGGAAGGCCUGGGCCAAGAGACCAAGCUUUGCACAAGAAACCUGGGAAUUGUGUUGGCAAAAGGAGACUCUGAGAUGGCUCUAGUCUCCCCGUACAUAGGAUUCACUUAUCCUUGCAGAUGACAAGGCAGGACACUUAGAAAGCAGAUCAGGUACUGCUCUUAUUUGUACCUUUCACUCAACUCUCCCCACAACUGCUCCAUAGAACAGAGCUUUGGGUAUUGCUUCACAGAGAACACAGUAACUGCAGUUUCAGAACCACUGCAUUCUUUACGGUCAGUUUAUUAUAACCCAUCAUACCGUUAAGAAUCACAGUUUAAGGCCAUUUGUCAUGGGCAUUAUGUAGCAAAGAAAACCUUGUCCACAGCUUCUGCCACCAAGCCACUCCCACAGUGGACUGCAAAUGUAGUAUUGCCACACUCACCAGAGAAGACUAGAAUAAACACUUUCAUCUGGGGCUUCAGCUAGCCCCUUCGGUUUCCUCUCUAGAAAAGAAGAUUCAAUCUAUAGCAAAAGCUGCUUAGAAAACAGAAGUCAGGGGCAGCUCCUGUGGCUCAAAGAGUAGGGUGCUGGUCCCAUAUACCAGAGGUGAUGGGUUCAAACCCAGCCCCGGCAAAAAAAAAAAAAAAAAGAAAACAGAA